rnacentral:rRNA from 1 species
AGCAGCCGCGGUAAUUCCAGCUCCAAUAGCGUAUAUUAAAGUUGUUGCAGUUAAAAAGCUCGUAGUUGAAUUUCGGGGUUAGUAGGUUGGUCAUGCCUCUGGUAUGUACUGGUCUCACUGAUUCCUCCUUCCUGAUGAGCCGUAAUGCCAUUAAUUUGGUGUUGCGGGGAAUUUGGACUGUUACUUUGAAAAAAUUAGAGUGUUUAAAGCAAGCUAACGCUUGAAUACAUUAGCAUGGAAUAAUGAAAUAGGACGUUCGAUCCUAUUUUGUUGGUUUCUAGGAUUGACGUAAUGAUUAAUAGGGAUAGUUGGGGGCAUUAGUAUUCAAUUGUCAGAGGUGAAAUUCUUGGAUUUAUUGAAGACUAACUACUGCGAAAGCAUUUGCCAAGGAUGUUUUCAUUAAUCAAGAACGAAAGUUAGGGGAUCGAAGACGAUCAGAUACCGUCGUAGUCUUAACCAUAAACUAUGCCGACUAAGGGUCGGAUGAUGUUAA